GGACAUAGCUCAGUGGUAGGGCACCUGCCUAGCAUGUGCAAGUCCCUGGGUUCAAUCCCCAGUAGUGCA
rnacentral:tRNA from 1 species